rnacentral:rRNA from 1 species
GACGAACGCUGGCGGCGUGCUUAACACAUGCAAGUCGAACGGAAAGGCCCUGCUUGCAUGGUGUGCUAGAGUCGCAAACGUGUGUAUAACGCGGGAGUUCCCUUCCGUUGACUUUGGUAUGCCUUCGGAAAUCUGUCUCUUAUCCCGGAUGGGCGCUCCUUCUUGAUGGUGUGGGUAGGUUUUUUCGGUGUAGGGUGGGUUCGCGGCCUACUAGUCUGUUUGUGGGGUAAUUGCCUACCAAGGCGGCGUAGGGCAGCCGGCCUGCGAGGGUGGACGGCCACAGUGGGACUGAGAUACGGCCCAGACUCCUACGGGAGGCAGCAGGGGGGAAUAAUGCACAAUGGGGGCAAGCCUGAUGCAGCGACGCCGCGUGGGGGAUGACGGCCUUCGGGUUGUAAACGCCGUUCGGUAGGGACGAAGCUGUGUGUGACGGUAACUAGAUAAGAAGCACCGGCUAACUACGUG